UGUUUUAAUCACUUCCUAGACAGUUGAAGGAUGUCUUAAGGCAGAAAGAACAACCUGUUUUAUGGUCGUGAAUUUAGAGGGGGUCCAGUGUACUUGAGUGACGAGCACUGUUGUCUCUGAAACACAAAAUGAACAGAAAUCUGAAACAAAAUUUAUUCUGCAGACUCAGUUUUGUAUUAGUCAUGGUUUUGAGUUUCAUAUGAUCUCUAAAAACAUUAAUCCCCCAUGAAUUUGUAUGGACACCUGUUCAAUAUACGUAAUGUACAAAUCUGAUAAGUUAUUAGUCAACAUACUUAAUUCAUAUCCUGAGACACUGCUGCCGUUCGACGCUGUUGCGACUUCUCAUGAAAAUAUGCCAACUGUUUUAUAUUACUGUAUUUGCUUUAUUUGUCUACAACAAAAUGAACAAGAAUAAUUGUUUUUCAGGAUCAUGCUGAAGAUCUGCUGGUGUUGAGAUUCAGCCCACCUAGUCUGCAGAGGUUGGCUAUAGAGGCUGUUUGUAAACAUGAAGUGAAGCUUCGGGAGCAGUGGCAUCUGCUACCUCACACACUACAGCAUAUCCUUGAAGUUCGCACCUGUUCUGACAGAAUAAGUUAGCAGUUCACAGUAAAGCAGUGUAAUAGCAACCAACUUUGUCCACACAUCAGCCCAAAAGCCCUCUUUUCCCAAAAAACUUGUUCAUACUCGCUGACUCUUUCAUUACCUCAUCCUCCAGAUAUUUACUACCUAUUGCCCUUUAUUAUCAUCAUCAUCAUAGCUCUUAACUUAGUUAUGAUAAUUGUCUCAAGAUUAGCAUAUUUUUGAAUUUUCAGUUAUUUCCGUAUCUCAAAUUGUCACAGCCAAAAUUGCAACAAUUAUGAAGUAAAACUAGGACAAAAAGCUUAAAAGGUAUAUAGAACUUACCACUCAUUGCAGUUAUACCUUGUGUAAGUACAUCAUUGUAAAAGGCAUUAAAAUUUGUAAUUUCAGCAUAAUGUACAGUUGUACAUUUUGUGGUAGAGACUAGGUUAAGUAAGUGAUGUGUACACUGAAUUUUCUUUCCCAAUUAUUUUGAUAGAGUUGUUGUUGUUGUUGUUGUUCAGCAUUUCAGCCUCAUAUGAGAGAAUAAUAAAUGGAAUUAUAAAACUAUGAAAUAAAGCUUUAGAUUUUUUUUAAUAAAUUACAUAAGUAAAACUUCGGUAGAAUCAUUGGCAGCUUUCUUGAGUUUUCUGGUGUUUUUCAUUUUUACUAAAGAUUUCUCUCCUCUACCAAUUCAGUCUCACUUUUUAUUAUGGUUAUCAAUCACCAGCUUAUACAACAGUUGUCAAAUUAUCUCCUGAGUAAAUGUAUAGUAUUAUAGGUGGCAUGGAAAUGUAUAUUUAAUUAAUGUAAUACUGCAUAUAUAAUAACUUUGUUAAUUUAAGCAUCAUGUCGGGUACUUGGAGUUUGUGGGAGUAUUUUUUUUUUUAAUCACACAUCGGUUGUUUCCCACUGAGGCAGGGUGACCCUUAUGGGAAUUGUAUAUUCAUUAUAAAAAUGUACAACUAAAAAAGUAAAUAAUAUAUUUUAAAUUUUUAUGGUACUAUAAUGACUUGCUGUCUCUGCCACCAACCACCUCACUCAAGUAUUUUGGACACUAAUCACAUGUUUCUCUUAUUCAUACUAUAACCUUUUACACUUGCAAGACAAUGGUUGCAUUACGUAUCAAGUACUAUGCAUAGAUUGCUUUAAUGUUGGAAGUUUGUGCAAAUUUGAAACAGGUUUAAUACGGCAGCUAUGGCAGCCUUUGUAAUUCUAUCGGCAAGCCUUCUUCAACACACCUUUCUGGUUGUCACACACUUUCUCAUUUUUUAUUAUCUUCAUCACUUGCCAGUCUGCAAGACAAUAAUAGACCUUCAUUCUGAAUCUUAAAAUAUUUACUCUGUUAAUUCCAUGCAAAAAUAAAAUAAAAUAGCUGUUUACAAUCUUU